rnacentral:rRNA from 14 species
ACUAGUGGGUAGCGACUGUUUACUAAAAACACAGGUCCGUGCGAAGUCGUAAGACGAUGUAUACGGACUGACGCCUGCCCGGUGCUGGAAGGUUAAGAGGACCGGUUAGCCGCAAGGCGAAGCUGAGAAUUUAAGCCCCAGUAAACGGCGGUGGUAACUAUAACCAUCCUAAGGUAGCGAAAUUCCUUGUCGGGUAAGUUCCGACCUGCACGAAUGGAGUAACGACUUCCCCGCUGUCUCAACCAUGAACUCGGCGAAAUUGCAUUACGAGUAAAGAUGCUCGUUACGCGCAGCAGGACGGAGAGACCCC